rnacentral:lncRNA from 10 species
UGCCCACUAUAAGGACCCUCCCUUCUGCGUGGCCCGCUGCCCCAGCGGUGUGAAACCUGACCUCUCCUACAUGCCCAUCUGGAAGUUUCCAGAUGAGGAGGGCGCAUGCCAGCCUUGCCCCAUCAACUGCACCCACUCCUGUGUGGACCUGGAUGACAAGGGCUGCCCCGCCGAGCAGAGAGCCAGGUUGGCCUGGACCCCAGGAUGUACCCUUCAUUGCCCUUCACUCCCCCACUGGAUGCUGGGUGGUCACUGCUGUAGGGAGGGGACCCCCUGACAUAUGUCCCUUCCCACCCACUCUUCCACUGUGGAACCUCCUGUCAUUUUCCACUUCACCAAGUGACAGAGGACCUGCUCAGAUGCUGAGGGGAGGGGACUGCAAGGAAAGAUGGCUAGGAAACCCAGUCCCUCCACACCCUAGAGUAACUUGAUGCCUUGUGAGGGACACAGGCAAAGUUCAAUUCCUUGGAAGUCAAGGGAGACUGAGAAGAGUACAGCUGCAGCACUGAGGGAGUGAUGAAUUCUUAACUGGGGAUGGUGGGAGGCUUCGAGUGGGAGGUGGCAUUUGAGCUAGGCUUUGAGAGAGGAGCAGGUAUUGCACUUGCAUUUAGGUAGAAAGCAUUGGGGUGCAAGGUGACACUGGAGGGGG